rnacentral:rRNA from 1 species
UACGUAGGGCGCAAGCGUUAUCCGGAAUUACUGGGCGUAAAGCGCACGUAGACGGCUUUGUAAGUUAGAGGUGAAAGCCUGGGGCUCAACUCCAGAACUGCCUUUAAGACUGCAUCGCUUGAAUCAUGGAGAGGCGGGUGGAAUUCCGAGUGUAGAGGUGAAAUUCGUAGAUAUUCGGAAGAACACCAGUGGCGAAGGCGGCCCGCUGGACAUGUAUUGACGCUGAGGUGCGAAAGCGUGGGGAGCAAACAGG